CCUACGGGAGGCAGCAGUGAGGAAUAUUGGUCAAUGGGCGGGAGCCUGAACCAGCCAAGCCGCGUGAGGGAAGAAGGUACAGCGUAUCGUAAACCUCUUUUGUCAGGGAACAAAGGCGGGGACUAGUCCCCGGGUGAGGGUACCUGAAGAAAAAGCAUCGGCUAACUCCGUGCCAGCAGCCGCGGUAAUACGGAGGAGGCGAGGGUUAUCCGGAUUUAUUGGGUUUAAAGGGUUCUCAGGCGGCCUGUUCAGUCAGCGGUAAAAGCCCGGGGCUCAACCCCGGCGAGCCGUUGAAACUGGCGGGCUGGAGUUGGAGAGAAGUACGCGGAAGGCGCGGUGUAGCGGGGAAAUGCUUAGAGAUCGCGCAGAACCCCGAUUGCGAAGGCAGCGUACCGGCUCCACACUGACGCUGAGGCACGAAAGCGUGGGUAUCGAACAGGAUUAGAUACCCUUGUAGUC
rnacentral:rRNA from 1 species